CCAGUACUGUAGUCCGGUACACAUAAUUGCCCCCCAUAUAUAUAUAGACUCAAACUAGGCUAGCAGUGAAAUGAUAUUUUUCUUUUGCUUUUUUUUCAGUUAUGUGUAUGAGAAGCAGGGCGAUAUCUCCGGCCCACUUCUUUGACAGGUUCUCUUGUUGUUGAUGCUGAGAAACUCCAGGAGCCUGCUAUUUGGAGAGAGAAAUGUGUUCCAGCUGCUGGUGCUAACAAAGAUCUGAGGUUAUACACACAGGACCUAUCACCCACACCCACCCGAUUGGGAGGGGUUGCCUCUCCCUGUGUCCACACAUAUGCCUUGAGUUGCUCUUCAGUGAAUAUCACUUUUCCUUUCAUGUUUUUUCUACAUGCUAUUAUCUGUAUGAAAUGAAGACCAAGAAAGGAUGGGAAGAAGGGGAAGAAAAAUUUUGAUUUAUCUCAGAAACUGUACUCCGAAGUGAGAGUCCUGGUUGCAGGUGCAACUGAAGGACUAUGGCUAUGGUAGCUGCCCAGGAAGACUGGCCAUCCGAUUCAUGCUUGUGCAGUCCUUGGACUUUUAGAUCUACCAGAAUCAUCACAUUUUGGAGUUCUCAGUCCCAUGUACAAAGUCCAACUGUCUGAGGCCACCAUGCUCUGAGGAUGUCCAGGCCACCUGGAGAGGCUACCAGAUAUGUGUAUGAAGAAGUCGUCUUGAAAGUGGAUCUUCCAGCCCAAGUUAUUCUAGCUACAGCUGUUUGAGUCUCCUCGUGCAAGCCCCAGACAUCAUGGAAUGGAGAAGAGCUGAGCCACUGUGUCCUCUCCAAAUUCUCAAUCCACAAAACUCAUGAAAAUAAUAAAAUGAUUGUGUCUUUGUGCUACUAAAUUUAGGGAAAUUUGUUAUUCAGCAAAGAUAAUUAGAACAAGAGACCACAAUUUGACUAUCAUGUUUCAGAAAUGACACAGAUCCAGAGAGGUUAAAUAAAUCAUUUUAUUCAAAUGAA